rnacentral:rRNA from 1 species
UACGUAGGGGGCAAGCGUUAUCCGGAUUUACUGGGUGUAAAGGGAGCGUAGACGGUAAAGCAAGUCUGAAGUGAAAGCCCGCGGCUCAACUGCGGGACUGCUUUGGAAACUGUUUAACUGGAGUGUCGGAGAGGUAAGUGGAAUUCCUAGUGUAGCGGUGAAAUGCGUAGAUAUUAGGAGGAACACCAGUGGCGAAGGCGACUUACUGGACGAUAACUGACGUUGAGGCUCGAAAGCGUGGGGAGCAAAC